CAUAGUCCAAGACGGAAGCGGCAUUGGGAUUUGAAACACCAGAAUAAAUCCACUGCCACUUGUAUGGAGGCUUUCCCUGGUUGCUGAAAUGCAGUCUUUUUUGAACUUCUGGAACUAUAACCAUGGCUGUUUAAUGAGUAACUUGCAACUGGAGAGUGUUAAGGAUGGGAAAGAAACAACCAACAUUCAGGGAAGAUGAGUGAUCACCGUCUUAUGCUGAAGGCCUAGAGUUUCCAACUCAUGAUUCUGUUUCCAGUCUCCUGACCAUCCUGUAGACCAGCUAACAUUGGCUCAACUGAUUUGAUGUUUACUUAAGAAAGAAUUAUUUAUAAUAACCAGCUAUGGCUACUGAAUAAAGAGGUGGUCUGGGUUGGAAGCUUCUCGGAGAUGUUUCUUGACCACUGUUGCAGCUUGCUACUUCUCUGUGUGGUCAUCUCUCACCACGUGGUGCCUCAUCAUUUUGUAUUCUGGCCUAAGCUUUUUCAGAGCUGGACAUUUGGCUCACUGUGAAUGCAGAGCUCAUGAAGGCCUCAUGAUGACUAAAAGCCAGAGCAGCACCUCAGUUGGUAGUAUCACCCCUACCAUAGUCUACUGGUCACACCAAGCCCAGGUACAGAAACGUGAAAAGAGAACCCUCUUCUUAUUGAUUGGAGUCCCGUCCACAUACCAUAUAGGAAGGAAUUAUUAGGAACAAGUCACUACUCUCUCUUUGCAAGGAUUUGGUAUUUCUUUUCUGAAGACCAGAACACAUUGCUUCUUUCAAACUUGUGUUUAUUUUAAAGCAUAAAUCAGAACAUGAGUUGUACAUAUGCUUACGCACUUGGUCCUUUUCCUUAUUGACUAAAGAUAGAACAGACGUUGUGAACAGGCUUAAGUUACUGCAGAGUAUGUAGGCCACUCCUGUAGAAACUUGCUUCAUAAUCAAGGAUUCUCGUACGGUUUUAGUCUUUUCAUUUAUUUCAGCCCUCCUGGUGUUUGCCAAUAAAGGAAUUAUAGUUUUAAUAACUAGUUGACUCGGCUGAUUUUAUCGAUUUUAAUAAAUAAUAAAACAUGCCUAAAAGCAAAAACAUCAAACAAAUGAUUUAAAUCCCUAAAACCUUGC